rnacentral:rRNA from 1 species
GACGAACGCUGGCGGCGUGCUUAACACAUGCAAGUCGAGCGGUAAGGCCCUUUCGGGGGUACACGAGCGGCGAACGGGUGAGUAACACGUGGGUGACCUGCCCUCAGCUCUGGGAUAAGCCUGGGAAACCGGGUCUAAUACCGGAUAUGACUCCAUGACGCAUGUUGUGGGGUGGAAAGCCUUGUGCGGCUGAGGAUGGGCCCGCGGCCUAUCAGCUUGUUGGUGGGGUGAUGGCCUACCAAGGCGACGACGGGUAGCCGGCCUGAGAGGGCGACCGGCCACACUGGGACUGAGACACGGCCCAGACUCCUACGGGAGGCAGCAGCGGGGAAUCUUGCGCAAUGGGCGAAAGCCUGACGCAGCGACGCCGCGUGAGGGAUGACGGCCUGGUU